GUAAAGGGUACGUAGGCGGCCCGUUAAGUUAGAAGUGAAAGGCUAUAGCUUGACUAUAGUAAGCUUUUAAAACUGUCGGGCUUGAGAGAUUGAAGGGGAAGUGGAAUUCCUAGUGUAGCGGUGAAAUGCGCAGAUAUUAGGAGGAAUACCAGUGGCGAAGGCGACUUUCUGGCAAUCAUCAGACGCUGAGGUACGAAAGCGUGGGUAGCAAACAGGAUUAGAUACCCUGGUAGUCCACGCCGUAACCGAUGAGUGUUAGGUGCCUGUGAAAAUGGGUACCGCAGCUAACGCAUUAAACACUCCGCCUGGGGAGUACGCACGCAAGUGUGAAACUCAAAGGAAUUGACGGGGACCCGCACAGGCAGCGGAGCAUGUGGUUUAAUUCGAAGCAACGCGAAGAACCUUACCAAGUCUUGACAUAUUACAGAGGGUAUUAGAGAUAAAACCUUAAGACUUCGGUCAACUGUAAUACAGGUGGUGCAUGGUUGUCGUCAGCUCGUGUCGUGAGAUGUUGGGUUAAGUCCCAUAACGAGCGCAACCCCUAUCGUUAGUUACCAUCAUUAAGUUGGGGACUCUAGCGAGACUGCCGGUGAUAAACCGGAGGAAGGUGGGGACGACGUCAAAUCAUCAUGCCCUUUAUGACUUGGGCUACACACGUGCUACAAUGGCAGGUACAGAGGGAAGCAAAAUUGUGAAAUGAAGCAAAACUCAAAAAGCCUGUCCCAGUUCGGAUUGUACUCUGCAACUCGAGUACAUGAAGUUGGAGUUGCUAGUAAUCGUGGAUCA
rnacentral:rRNA from 1 species